UCUCCGUAGGUGAACCUGCGGAGGGAUCAUUACUGAGUGAGGGCUUCGGUCCGACCUCCAACCCUUUGUGAACCAAGCUUUUUGCUUCGGGGGCGACCCUGCCGCUUCGGCGGUGCGGCGCCCCCGGAGGCCAUUAAACACUGCAUCAUUGCGUCGGAGUUAAAGUAAAUUAAACAAAACGUUCAACAACGGAUCGCUUGGUUCUGGCAUCGAUGAAGAACGCAGC
rnacentral:misc_RNA from 1 species